rnacentral:rRNA from 1 species
UAGGGAAUUUUCCGCAAUGGGCGAAAGCCUGACGGAGCGACGCCGCGUGAGGGAUGAAGGUCUUCGGAUUGUAAACCUCUUUUGACGGGGAAUAAAUGUAACAAAGCUAACAUCUUUGUUGCUUGACGGUACCCGUAGAAUAAGCUACGGCUAACUCUGUGCCAGCAGCCGCGGUAAUACAGAGGUAGCAAACGUUGUCCGGAUUCACUGGGCGUAAAGGGCUUGUAGGUUGCCAAAUAAGUCAGAUGUGAAAUCGUAUAGCUCAACUAUACAACCGCAUUUGAUACUGCUUGGCUUGAGUGCAGGAGGGGUAAUUGGAAUUUCCGGUGUAGCGGUGAAAUGCGUAGAUAUCGGAAAGAACACCUGUGGCGAAGGCGGAUUACUAGCCUGCAACUGACACUGAGGAGCGAAAGCCAGGGGAGCAAACGGG